AUUAUUUUGAACUGUAAAAUCCAAUGAGUUAUUUCAGCAGUGAUGAAAGAGUUAUUUUAAAUUAUCAAAUAUAUAAAGUUGUUUAUUCAGUCAAAUAUAGGUUUUAUCAGUGUGUAUGUAUUAGUAAAAGAGAGAGACGUAGGAUUUCAAAAUAAUCUAAAUAUGAAAUCAAAUAAUCAUGCUCAUAUUGAACCAAAAAGAUUAGAUUUGUGAUCGGAAGCGUACUUGAAUAUAUAAUGGAAGAAAUUUGCAUGUAGUUCAGUAGAUCUUCCAAAUCGAGAU
rnacentral:lncRNA from 1 species